GUUAUAUCACCUCACACAGCAGGUGAAUACUGAUUGAGCCCACACUACUCAUCUAUUAUAACAGUGUUAUAUCACCUCACACAACAGGUGAAUACUGAUUGAGCCCACACUACUCAUCUAUUAUAACAGUGUUAUAUCACCUCACACAACAGGUGAAUACUGAUUGAGCCCACACUACUCAUCUACUAUAACAGUGUUAUAUCACCUCACACAGCAGGUGAAUACUGAUUGAGCCCACACUACUCAUCUAUUAUAACAGUGUUAUAUCACCUCACACAACAGGUGAAUACUGAUUGAGCCCACACUACUCAUCUAUUAUAACAGUGUUAUAUCACCUCACACAACAGGUGAAUACUGAUUGAGCCCACACUACUCAUCUAUUAUAACAGUGUUAUAUCACCUCACACAGCAGGUGAAU